AUUGAACGCUGGCGGCAGGCCUAACACAUGCAAGUCGAACGAGUGGCGGAUGGGUGAGUAAUGUCUGGGAAAGUGCCUGAUGGAGGGGGAUAACUACUAGAAACGGUCGCUAAUACCACAUACCCUGGGAUGUGCCCAGAUGGGAGUAGCUAGUAGGGGGGGUAAAGGCUCACCUAGGCGACGAUCCCUAGCGGGUCUGAGAGGAUGACCAGCCACACUGGGACUGAGACACGGGCCAGACUCCUACGGGAGGCAGCAGUGGGGAAUAUUGCACAAUGGGCGCAAGCCUGAUGCAGCCAUGCCGCUUGUAUGAAGAAGGCCUUCGGGUUGUAAAGUACUUUCAGCGGGGAGGCGUUACCCGCAGAAGAAGCACCGGCUAACUCCGUGCCAGCAGCCGCGGUAAUAC
rnacentral:rRNA from 1 species